GCGCUGCCGGCGGCCCGGGCGGCUCCGGCUCCCGCCUCACUGCAGACGCAGAGCCCGGGACACCGCAGCGCAAGCGACCGGGGCAGAUAACCAUUCAACGUGUUACAAACAAACAUAUUCCACCUGUUACAACAAUCUGGCAUAUUACUUCCUUGAUACGUGAUGAUACAAUACCUCUCAGGUUUGCUGAGUAGCAAAGAGAAAUGGAAACAUUAACAGUCCAAUUGCUUGAGAUUUUUGAGAGGCCAAAGGAGCAGCAAAAUACAUGUUGGGGAAAAAGCUUGAAUUGGCAGCUGAAAAAGAAGAAAAAAAGCAACUGGUGGAACUUCACUGAAGAUGUUGUCUUAGGAAGCGUCCCUGUGUCAGAAGGCAUUGUCAUGGAGAUUUAUGAGCAUGGGAUCAAAGCGUACAAGAAUGACACCUGUGGUAGAACUAUAACUUUGUAGAAUGUCCUGAGUUGGAAGGAUGUGGGAAAGGAUCACUGAAGCCUAUUCCUGAUCCUGCACAGAAAACCCCAGGAAUCACAUCAUGUGCCAUGUUCCAGGAUUUGGCUGGUUGUGUUCAAAGGGUUUGUUUUCCUGCUAUGUAUUAUGAACGACUUUGGAAGAAACACCUGGAAAUGCUAAUAUUGUGUGGUGACAGCAAAAUGCUAGAAUAAAAGAGGGAAGAAGCUGGAUAUCCUGGCAGUUCUGCAGUUCACCAAGUCUGUUAUUUCUGUUCUGUCUUUAUAAUGGCCAUAAAAUAUGAGCUGGGAGUAUGAUGUCAAUGCAUCCACUUUCAAUAAUUGAUAUGAUGAAUAAUCUCAACCUUCUGACACUUUCUGUAUCUUCUCACAUCUCAGGAAACUUCAUUCAUCAACCACAUUUGAAAUGUUUAAGUAAUCUCAGUGAUGUAUGGAGCACUGAAACUCCCUUGUUAGAAAUCUAUGCUACUAACAUUCUAUCAAAUUAAAAAGCCACUGAGCUCUUGUGCAUAAAAUUAUCAUAAAUUAUCUCUGAAGGUUCAUUGCUGUUUGGAAUGUUUAAUUGCUCACUCAGCUGAACUUCAGCAGCUCAAGAUUAUUAAUCAAUUUGUCAGAAGGUUUCUCAUAAUGUCAUCUUUUACACUGUGGUUAUAUGCAAGAAAAACCCAUGUGCAUGACAGUUUUGUGCAGCAAGUAAAAAGUAUCCAUGCAUGCCUUUCACAAUAUUAAUUUCAUAUAUUUAUGACAGUAUUUUUCAGUUGUUGAUUUCCCACAGAACAUAGGAAAAUUGUAAUUACCUCAGUCUAAUUUAUCUGGAUGGAAAACUAGAUUCUCAAAAAGAUAUUUAAAAGUAAAAUGGAGACAGAUAAUAAAAUGGACCUUUUAAUUCAUUUAA